rnacentral:rRNA from 1 species
GGGUUGUGAGGUUAAGCGACUAAGCGUACACGGUGGAUGCCCUGGCAGUCAGAGGCGAUGAAGGACGUGCUAAUCUGCGAUAAGCGUCGGUAAGGUGAUAUGAACCGUUAUAACCGGCGAUUUCCGAAUGGGGAAACCCAGUGUGUUUCGACACACUAUCAUUAACUGAAUCCAUAGGUUAAUGAGGCGAACCGGGGGAACUGAAACAUCUAAGUACCCCGAGGAAAAGAAAUCAACCGAGAUUCCCCCAGUAGCGGCGAGCGAACGGGGAGCAGCCCAGAGCCUGAAUCAGUGUGUGUGUUAGUGGAAGCGUCUGGAAAGGCGCGCGAUACAGGGUGACAGCCCCGUACACAAAAAUGCACAUGCUGUGAGCUCGAUGAGUAGGGCGGGACACGUGGUAUCCUGUCUGAAUAUGGGGGGACCAUCCUCCAAGGCUAAAUACUCCUGACUGACCGAUAGUGAACCAGUACCGUGAGGGAAAGGCGAAAAGAACCCCGGCGAGGGGAGUGAAAAAGAACCUGAAACCGUGUACGUACAAGCAGUGGGAGCACGCUUAGGCGUGUGACUGCGUACCUUUUGUAUAAUGGGUCAGCGACUUAUAUUCUGUAGCAAGGUUAACCGAAUAGGGGAGCCGAAGGGAAACCGAGUCUUAACUGGGCGUUAAGUUGCAGGGUAUAGACCCGAAACCCGGUGAUCUAGCCAUGGGCAGGUUGAAGGUUGGGUAACACUAACUGGAGGACCGAACCGACUAAUGUUGAAAAAUUAGCGGAUGACUUGUGGCUGGGGGUGAAAGGCCAAUCAAACCGGGAGAUAGCUGGUUCUCCCCGAAAGCUAUUUAGGUAGCGCCUCGUGAAUUCAUCUCCGGGGGUAGAGCACUGUUUCGGCAAGGGGGUCAUCCCGACUUACCAACCCGAUGCAAACUGCGAAUACCGGAGAAUGUUAUCACGGGAGACACACGGCGGGUGCUAACGUCCGUCGUGAAGAGGGAAACAACCCAGACCGCCAGCUAAGGUCCCAAAGUCAUGGUUAAGUGGGAAACGAUGUGGGAAGGCCCAGACAGCCAGGAUGUUGGCUUAGAAGCAGCCAUCAUUUAAAGAAAGCGUAAUAGCUCACUGGUCGAGUCGGCCUGCGCGGAAGAUGUAACGGGGCUAAACCAUGCACCGAAGCUGCGGCAGCGACACUAUGUGUUGUUGGGUAGGGGAGCGUUCUGUAAGCCUGUGAAGGUGUGCUGUGAGGCAUGCUGGAGGUAUCAGAAGUGCGAAUGCUGACAUAAGUAACGAUAAAGCGGGUGAAAAGCCCGCUCGCCGGAAGACCAAGGGUUCCUGUCCAACGUUAAUCGGGGCAGGGUGAGUCGACCCCUAAGGCGAGGCCGAAAGGCGUAGUCGAUGGGAAACAGGUUAAUAUUCCUGUACUUGGUGUUACUGCGAAGGGGGGACGGAGAAGGCUAUGUUGGCCGGGCGACGGUUGUCCCGGUUUAAGCGUGUAGGCUGGUUUUCCAGGCAAAUCCGGAAAAUCAAGGCUGAGGCGUGAUGACGAGGCACUACGGUGCUGAAGCAACAAAUGCCCUGCUUCCAGGAAAAGCCUCUAAGCAUCAGGUAACAUCAAAUCGUACCCCAAACCGACACAGGUGGUCAGGUAGAGAAUACCAAGGCGCUUGAGAGAACUCGGGUGAAGGAACUAGGCAAAAUGGUGCCGUAACUUCGGGAGAAGGCACGCUGAUAUGUAGGUGAGGUCCCUCGCGGAUGGAGCUGAAAUCAGUCGAAGAUACCAGCUGGCUGCAACUGUUUAUUAAAAACACAGCACUGUGCAAACACGAAAGUGGACGUAUACGGUGUGACGCCUGCCCGGUGCCGGAAGGUUAAUUGAUGGGGUCAGCGCAAGCGAAGCUCUUGAUCGAAGCCCCGGUAAACGGCGGCCGUAACUAUAACGGUCCUAAGGUAGCGAAAUUCCUUGUCGGGUAAGUUCCGACCUGCACGAAUGGCGUAAUGAUGGCCAGGCUGUCUCCACCCGAGACUCAGUGAAAUUGAACUCGCUGUGAAGAUGCAGUGUACCCGCGGCAAGACGGAAAGACCCCGUGAACCUUUACUAUAGCUUGACACUGAACAUUGAGCCUUGAUGUGUAGGAUAGGUGGGAGGCUUUGAAGUGUGGACGCCAGUCUGCAUGGAGCCGACCUUGAAAUACCACCCUUUAAUGUUUGAUGUUCUAACGUGGACCCGUGAUCCGGGUUGCGGACAGUGUCUGGUGGGUAGUUUGACUGGGGCGGUCUCCUCCUAAAGAGUAACGGAGGAGCACGAAGGUUGGCUAAUCCUGGUCGGACAUCAGGAGGUUAGUGCAAUGGCAUAAGCCAGCUUGACUGCGAGCGUGACGGCGCGAGCAGGUGCGAAAGCAGGUCAUAGUGAUCCGGUGGUUCUGAAUGGAAGGGCCAUCGCUCAACGGAUAAAAGGUACUCCGGGGAUAACAGGCUGAUACCGCCCAAGAGUUCAUAUCGACGGCGGUGUUUGGCACCUCGAUGUCGGCUCAUCACAUCCUGGGGCUGAAGUAGGUCCCAAGGGUAUGGCUGUUCGCCAUUUAAAGUGGUACGCGAGCUGGGUUUAGAACGUCGUGAGACAGUUCGGUCCCUAUCUGCCGUGGGCGCUGGAGAACUGAGGGGGGCUGCUCCUAGUACGAGAGGACCGGAGUGGACGCAUCACUGGUGUUCGGGUUGUCAUGCCAAUGGCACUGCCCGGUAGCUAAAUGCGGAAGAGAUAAGUGCUGAAAGCAUCUAAGCACGAAACUUGCCCCGAGAUGAGUUCUCCCUGACUCCUUGAGAGUCCUGAAGGAACGUUGAAGACGACGACGUUGAUAGGCCGGGUGUGUAAGCGCAGCGAUGCGUUGAGCUAACCGGUACUAAUGAACCGUGAGGCUUAACCUUACAACGCCGAAG